rnacentral:lncRNA from 1 species
UUUUAACUAGAAUACUCUCUAAUUCUUUUUCUAACAAGAUUUACAUAAUAUAUGUCCUAAACAUCAAAUAAAAGAAACAAAAUAAAAUUUCAAGAAUCACCAAUGUCUAACAAAAGUGACUUUAAAUAUAUAAAAGUUACUAUCAACCAAAAUUAAUCUUAAAAGCCACUAUCAAAAGAAAAUAAAGUUAUAUAAAUUUUAAUAAUAUUUCUUUUAAACAAUCUC